rnacentral:rRNA from 1 species
GACGAACGCUGGCGGCGUGCUUAACACAUGCAAGUCGAACGAAAAGGCCCUGCUUUUGUGGGCUGCUCGAGUUGCGAACGGGUGAGUAACACGUGAGUAACCUGCCCUUGACUUUGGGGUAACUUCAGGAAACUGGGGCUAAUACCGGAUAGGAUCUCCUGCUGCAUGGUGGGGGUUGGAUAGUUUCGGGGGUUGGGGAUGGACUCGCGGCUUAUCAGCUUGGUGGUGGGGUAGUGGCUUACCAAGGCUUUGAAGGGUAGCCGGGCUGAGAGGAUGACCGGCCACAUUGGGACUGAGAUGCGGCCCAGACUCCUACGGGACGCAGCAGUGGGGAAUAUUGUACAAGAGGCGGAAGCCUGAUGCAGCAACGCCGCGUGCGGGAUGACGGCCUUCGGGUUGUAAACCGCUGUCGCCUGUGACGAAGCGUGAGUGACGGUAAUGGGUGAAGAAGCACCGGCUAACUACGUG